AAGCCACAAUUGAGAUCCCAUGGGAGCAGCCUAUGCCUAAAUGCCCUAGGAGCAAGAUGGAGCAACCAGACUGAACCCUUGGUAGUCCACCCGUAAGGAUGUUACUACCGUUGGGCCUUUAAGCUUUUAGUGGCGCAGCUAACCCGAUAAUAGCCGGCCUGGGAGUACGGUCGCAAGACUUAAACUCAAUGAAUUGACGGGGGCCGCACAACCGGUGAAGCAUGUGGUUCAUUCGAUGCAACGCGGAGAACCCUUACCUGGUCUUGACAAUAGUAAGAACUUUCCAGAGAUGGAUUGGUGCCUUCGGGAACUUACAUACAGGUGCUGCAUGGCUGUCGUCAGCUCGUGUCGUGCGAUGUUGGGUUAAGUCCCGCAACGAGCGCAACCCUUUUCCUUAUUUGCCAGCGGGUUAAGCCGGGAACUUUAAGGAUACUGCCAGUGACAAACUGGAGGAAGGCGGGGACGACGUCAAGUCAUCAUGGCCCUUACGACCAGGGCGU
rnacentral:rRNA from 1 species